rnacentral:misc_RNA from 1 species
AAGGGGUUAUCGGCGACGUGGCAAAUGGAGGCGACGAUGGCGAGGUGGAGGUUGCCGGUGUUGCCGAAGCCGGUCAUAAUGACGGUGAGGCGGAAGAAACGGGGAGGGGGGCGGCAGAGGAGGGCGACGGCGUAGCCGAGGGCGCAGCCGAGGGCGGUGCUGAGGAUGACGUUGACGGGGACGAACCACCAGAGGAAGAAGUGGUGGAGGGUAAUGGAUUGGCCGAGGUGGACAAAGAUGAUGCAGGGGAGGAAGAGGGCGAAGACAAGCUUGCUGAGGAGGCGGAAAGUGGCACGGGGGACGAUCUGGGUGCGGGGGUGGGCGAGGAUCAGUCCGAUCACCGCCAGGCAGAGUAGCUUCAGCAGCGGCACCACCGCCGACAGCACGUCGCCCAUCGCCGAUCUCAUCCUGCCCGUGUCCAUCAUCGUUCUCUCCCACCCUCCG